UGCAGUCGAACGAGUUCUCGUUGAUGAUCGGUGCUUGCACCGAGAUUCAACAUGGAACGAGUGGCGGACGGGUGAGUAACACGUGGGUAACCUGCCCUUAAGUGGGGGAUAACAUUUGGAAACAGAUGCUAAUACCGCAUAGAUCCAAGAACCGCAUGGUUCUUGGCUGAAAGAUGGCGUAAGCUAUCGCUUUUGGAUGGACCCGCGGCGUAUUAGCUAGUUGGUGAGGUAAUGGCUCACCAAGGCGAUGAUACGUAGCCGAACUGAGAGGUUGAUCGGCCACAUUGGGACUGAGACACGGCCCAAACUCCUACGGGAGGCAGCAGUAGGGAAUCUUCCACAAUGGACGCAAGUCUGAUGGAGCAACGCCGCGUGAGUGAAGAAGGCUUUCGGGUCGUAAAACUCUGUUGUUGGAGAAGAAUGGUCGGCAGAGUAACUGUUGUCGGCGUGACGGUAUCCAACCAGAAAGCCACGGCUAACUACGUGCCAGCAGCCGCGGUAAUACGUAGGUGGCAAGCGUUAUCCGGAUUUAUUGGGCGUAAAGCGAGCGCAGGCGGUUUUUUAAGUCUGAUGUGAAAGCCCUCGGCUUAACCGAGGAAGCGCAUCGGAAACUGGGAAACUUGAGUGCAGAAGAGGACAGUGGAACUCCAUGUGUAGCGGUGAAAUGCGUAGAUAUAUGGAAGAACACCAGUGGCGAAGGCGGCUGUCUGGUCUGUAACUGACGCUGAGGCUCGAAAGCAUGGGUAGCGAACAGGAUUAGAUACCCUGGUAGUCCAUGCCGUAAACGAUGAAUGCUAGGUGUUUGGGAAGGGUUUCCGCCCUUCAGUGCCGCAGCUAACGCAUUAAGCAUUCCGCCUGGGGGAGUACGACCGCAAGGUUGAAACUCAAAGGAAUUGACGGGGGCCCGCACAAGCGGUGGA
rnacentral:rRNA from 1 species